AACCUGGUUGAUCCUGCCAGUAGUCAUAUGCUUGUCUCAAAGACUAAGCCAUGCACGUCUAAGUACAAACUAAAUGAUGGUGAAACUGCAAAUGGCUCAUUACAACGGUUAUGAUGUACCCGGGAGUUCCGAUGGAUAUUUCCAGUAACACUAGAACUAAUACAUGCUCCUGCGUUUAUUAGUUUCGCACAGUCCGUCGCUGAGUCAUGGUAAACAGUUGAUCGACUCGACGUCCCGGAACAGUUUCCGCCCCAUCAGCUUCGAUGGUUGGGUAUUGGCCUACCAUUGCAACAACGGGUAACGAGGAAUUAGGGUUUGAUUUCGGAGAGGGAGCCUGAGAAACGGCUACCACAUCUACGGAUGGCAGCAGGCGCGCAAAUUACCCAAUGCAGACACUGUGAGGUAGUGACGAGAAAUAAUAAAGCGGGACUUCUGUUUCGCUAUUAUAAUGAGGAAUAACCAAAGGUCAUUCCGAU
rnacentral:rRNA from 1 species